GAAAUGCGAUAAGUAAUGUGAAUUGCAGAAUUCAGUGAAUCAUCGAAUCUUUGAACGCACCUUGCGCUCCUUGGUAUUCCGAGGAGCAUGCCUGUUUGAGUGUCAUGAAACCCUCAAACCCAAGUUUUGGAUUUCGAUCCAUGCUUGAGUUUGGAUUUGGAUGUUUGCCGGUGAUGAACCGACUCAUCUUAAAAGUAUUAGCUUGGAUCUGUCUAUAUGACUGGUUUGACUUGGCAUAAUAAGUAUUUUGCUGAGGACAUCUUCGGAUGGCCAGGACCUAGACUACUGUCUGCUAACUAAACCAUCACUUUAAGUGCAUCUUUGGAUGUUACUCAUUGUGUAACUUUGACAUCUGGCCUCAAAUCAAGUAGGACUACCCGCUGAACUUAA
rnacentral:misc_RNA from 1 species